GACGAACGCUGGCGGCGCGCUUAACACAUGCAAGUCGAGCGAUGAAACUUUAACAGAACCCUUCGGGGCGAAGAUACGGUGGAUUAGCGGCGGACGGGUUAGUAACACUUGAGUAACCUGCCUUAGACAUUGGGAUAGCCUCGGGAAACCGGGAUUAAUACCAACUAAAAUCAUAAUGACACAUGUCAUAACGAUCAAAACUCCGGUGGUCUAAGAGGGACUCGCGUCGCAUUAGCUAGUUGGUAGGGUAAAAGCCUACCAAGGCGACGAUGGGUAGCCGGGCAGAGAGGGAGAGCCGACACACUGAAACUGAGAAGCGGUACAAACUCUUACGGGAGGCAGGAGUGGGGGAUAUUGCAAAAUGGCGGGAAUUAUGAUGCAGCGACGCCGCGAGAACGAAGUAAGUUUUGGAGAAGUAAAGUGCUUUUAUAUGGGCAGAUCAUGACGGUACCAAAACAAAAAGCCACGGCUAACUACGUG
rnacentral:rRNA from 1 species